AUGCGAUGUUCUGUCCGAUCGAUUCAGGAACCAACUAACGGAUACCAAAGUAGUUCGUUAAACGGAUGCCAAAGUGCUAUACUUUGAGAGUUCGUUAAACGGAUGCCAAAGUACUAUACUUUGUGAUUUCGGUAAACGGAAUCCAAAGUGUUACACUUUGUGAAAUUCAUUAAGGUUCGAAUCUCGUGACUACCGUUAAGGUUUGAUUUGGGUUUUACACAAAUACGUAUUCCAUUCUGUUAAACUAUAUGUUUAACUACCAAAAAUACUCCCAACUACACACUCACAAUCAAACAAACUAUUAAAUCAUCAGAAGAUCCAGAAUAAUA
rnacentral:lncRNA from 1 species